rnacentral:rRNA from 1 species
GCUUAGGAAUCUGCCUAUUAGUGGGGGACAACAUUUCGAAAGGAAUGCUAAUACCGCAUACGUCCUACGGGAGAAAGCAGGGGAUCUUCGGACCUUGCGCUAAUAGAUGAGCCUAAGUCGGAUUAGCUAGUUGGUGGGGUAAAGGCCUACCAAGGCGACGAUCUGUAGCGGGUCUGAGAGGAUGAUCCGCCACACUGGGACUGAGACACGGCCCAGACUCCUACGGGAGGCAGCAGUGGGGAAUAUUGGACAAUGGGCGCAAGCCUGAUCCAGCCAUGCCGCGUGUGUGAAGAAGGCCUUAUGGUUGUAAAGCACUUUAAGCGAGGAGGAGGCUACUUUAGAUAAUACCUAGAGAUAGUGGACGUUACUCGCAGAAUAAGCACCGGCUAACUCUGUGCCAGCAGCCGCGGUAAUACAGAGGGUGCAAGCGUUAAUCGGAUUUACUGGGCGUAAAGCGCGCGUAGGCGGCUAAUUAAGUCAAAUGUGAAAUCCCCGAGCUUAACUUGGGAAUUGCAUUCGAUACUGGUUAGCUAGAGUGUGGGAGAGGAUGGUAGAAUUCCAGGUGUAGCGGUGAAAUGCGUAGAGAUCUGGAGGAAUACCGAUGGCGAAGGCAGCCAUCUGGCCUAACACUGACGCUGAGGUGCGAAAGCAUGGGGAGCAAACAGGAUUAGAUACCCUGGUAGUCCAUGCCGUAAACGAUGUCUACUA